UACGUAGGGGGCAAGCGUUGUCCGGAAUCAUUGGGCGUAAAAGAGCGUGUAGGCGGCCCGGUAAGUCCGCUGUGAAAGUCCAGGCUCAACCCUGGGAUGCCGGUGGAUACUGUCGGGCUCGAGUCCGGAAGAGGAGUGUGGAAUUCCUGGUGUAGCGGUGAAAUGCGCAGAUAUCAGGAGGAACACCAAUGGCGAAGGCAGCACUCUGGGACGUGACUGACGCUGAGACGCGAAAGCGUGGGGAGCAAACAGGAUUAAGAA
rnacentral:rRNA from 1 species